AUGAUAGAGAGCGAAACGCCUCCCCCUGCCGUACCGUCUUAUGAGGCGGGCGACCCUGAGGUGUCGUCACAGAGGGUUUCUUCGAGUCCGGCGUGGCCGGAAGGUAGUCAUAUGUCCCCUCAAAGCCCUCUGCGUCCGGCCUUCAAAAAAGGCCAUCGGACGAGUCCGGCACCAUAUGGUGUACGGUCGAAGGAGCUGAAGGAUCUGCUCGGGCGAGCGUUUAUCUCAGAAGAUCACUGUGCGUUAAUGAGUACGGUGAUUGAAAGGAUUUCAUUCGCUGACAGCAGAUUGCAUGAAGCCGUUAGAAGUUUACUGACAAGUUUUGAGGUACGCAAAAUGAUGUACCUUCUGACAGUUCCGCAUAUAAAAUGCGCCAUGUGUAGAUAG
rnacentral:rRNA from 1 species